rnacentral:rRNA from 1 species
AACGAACGCUGGCGGCAUGCCUAACACAUGCAAGUCGAACGAGACCUUCGGGUCUAGUGGCGCACGGGUGCGUAACGCGUGGGAACCUGCCCUUAGGUUCGGAAUAACUCCCCGAAAGGGGUGCUAAUACCGGAUAAUGUCUUCGGACCAAAGAUUUAUCGCCUUUGGAUGGGCCCGCGUUGGAUUAGCUAGUUGGUAGGGUAAAAGCCUACCAAGGCGACGAUCCAUAGCUGGUCUGAGAGGAUGUUCAGCCACACUGGGACUGAGACACGGCCCAGACUCCUGCGGGGGGAGGAAGGGGGAAAUAGGGAACAAGGGGGAAUGGCGUGAUCCAGCAGUGCGGGGGGAGUUGUGAAGGCCGUAGGGUAUAAAUGCUUUUUUCCCCGGAAAUAUAAGGAGUGCCUAGGAAGAAGAACCCCGCUCAAUCCCCG